rnacentral:rRNA from 1 species
GUGGGGAAUAUUGGACAAUGGGCGCAAGCCUGAUCCAGCCAUGCCGCGUGAGUGAUGAAGGCCCUAGGGUUGUAAAGCUCUUUCACCGAUGAAGAUAAUGACGGUAGUCGGAGAAGAAGCCCCGGCUAACUUCGUGCCAGCAGCCGCGGUAAUACGAAGGGGGCUAGCGUUGUUCGGAAUUACUGGGCGUAAAGCGCACGUAGGCGGAUAUUUAAGUCCGGGGUGAAAUCCCGGGGCUCAACCCCGGAACUGCCUUUGAUACUGGGUAUCUCGAGUAUGGAAGAGGUGAGUGGAAUUCCGAGUGUAGAGGUCAAAUUCGUAGAUAUUCGGAGGAACACCAGUGGCGAAGGCGGCUCACUGGUCCAUUACUGACGCUGAGGUGCGAAAGCGUGGGGAGCAAACAGGAUUAGAUACCCUAGUAGUCC